UGGGGAAUAUUGCACAAUGGGGGAAACCCUGAUGCAGCGACGCCGCGUGAGUGAAGAAGUAUUUCGGUAUGUAAAGCUCUAUCAGCAGGGAAGAAAAUGACGGUACCUGACUAAGAAGCCCCGGCUAACUACGUGCCAGCAGCCGCGGUAAUACGUAGGGGGCAAGCGUUAUCCGGAUUUACUGGGUGUAAAGGGAGCGUAGACGGUUAUGCAAGUCUGAAGUGAAAGCCCGCUGCUUAACGGCGGGACUGCUUUGGAAACUGUAAAACUAGAGUACAGGAGGGGCAAGCGGAAUUCCUAGUGUAGCGGUGAAAUGCGUAGAUAUUAGGAGGAACACCGGUGGCGAAGGCGGCUUGCUGGACUGCAACUGACGUUGAGGCUCGAAAGCGUGGGGAGCAAACAGGAUUAGAUACCCUGGUA
rnacentral:rRNA from 1 species